rnacentral:tRNA from 1 species
GGACAGGUAGCUCAGUUGGUAGAGCACGGGACUGAAAAUCCCGGUGUCGCCGGUUCAACCCCGGCCCUGUCCA